rnacentral:misc_RNA from 1 species
GACGAAGGUGGCGACCGUUGUUCGGAAUCACUGGGCAUAAAGAGCACGUAGGCGGGUGCGUAAGUCGGGUGUGAAAUCCCUCGGCCUAACCGAGGAAUUGCGCCCGAAACUGCGUGUCUUGAGGGCAGGAGGGGAGCGUGGAAUUCCUGGUGGAGCGGUGAAAUGCGUUGAUAUCAGGAGGAACACCGGCGGCGAAGGCGACGCUCUGGCCUGCUUCUGACGCUGAGGUGCGAAAGCCAGGGGAGCAAACGGG